ACCACCGUUCGACGAUAGCAUCGU
rnacentral:siRNA from 1 species